AGAGAGAGAGAGAGAGAGAGAGAGUGGGUGAGUGGGGGGAUAUGUGAAUUGAAUAUAUGAAUAUGAGAAAUCCACAAAGUUCAUUGACACUAGCUAAUGUACUGUCCAGCUUUGGAAUAUCUGGGGUUAAAAGUUUUUAUCAGUAGAAUGCAGAAAUAAACCACUUGACCUAGCUUUUGCCCAUGGUUAGUUAGUGCAUGGUCAGACAAGCAAGAAGCAUCAAAACAUUUGCUUGGGUCAAGAAGAGAAAAGCCCAGUGCUUGACCUGUGUUAUAAGUCAGUAUGUACUCCUUGUAAUUAGGUACAGCUGUUGAAGAUAUUUGAGACCAUCAGCAAGCCGCCUACAACUUUAUGAACUUCAAAAUCUGUACCUCUCAGAUCAAUAAUUAAUCCAUCUUCGCUGGCCUUUAUAUCUUCUGAAUCAGUUUCAUUGUGAUGGGAGCAUAUAUGUAUAUCUAAUAUAAAGGAAGAAACAACUAUAGGGAUUUGUUGGUUAGGGCUGUCAAAUGUAAUUGCUAUAGUCAAAGUAAGUACAUUUCUAGAUGGAUCUAGUUUCAUCCAGUACUAAUUACUUAGCAAUUUGUAGAGGAAUUGUGUAGUCUUCAACAAACAACAUAUACUCAAGACAAGAUGGAAAACUAUAUGCUUAAAGUGCGAGAUAUGUGUUUGUAGUGUUUUUAUUUGUUUUGUCUCCUACCCUCCCCCCCCCCCCCCC
rnacentral:sRNA from 1 species